rnacentral:rRNA from 1 species
AUGGAAGCGCACCGUGAGGUUGGGGGCAGCAGCAAUGGCAAUGGCAGGGACGUCGCCGGUGGCUCUGGCAUGACCGCCGGGCAUGAAGCGUCACAGUCCGCACCUACACCUGGACCAGGGUAUAUUUUCACUGGAAAUAUUACUAAUCCCUGGAGUCAUGCUGCACAUUAUGGAAGGCAAGGAUUUUCAUGCCACUAUUGUGGUCUGAAGAGGCAGGGUGGAGGCUCAACCCGCCUAAAGGAACAUCUUGGUGGGCUGGGAGGAUCAUGGUUGAAUGCUAUAAUGUGCCCUCCGAGGUACAAGCUGCAAUGA